rnacentral:rRNA from 3 species
GGAUGCGAUCAUACCAGCACUAAAGCACCGGAUCCCAUCAGAACUCCGAAGUUAAGCGUGCUUGGGCGAGAGUAGUACUAGGAUGGGUGACCUCCUGGGAAGUCCUCGUGUUGCAUUCG